GGUAUCCUCACAACAAAAUGUUUUAUAUCAAAACCAAAAUAAGAAUCAUAAUCCCGAAUCACACACACACUACUCCCUUUUGUGUGUUUCCACUUGUAAACUGAACGAGUUAACACAAAGAGAGGAGCGUCUUCUGUAAGAAAAGAUGCAGAAGGACACGGGAAUCGCACAAGAUAAACAUCAUCUUCCAGCAGGAUAUCCAGCCGCAGUAGAGGUCCCUGAACUGCGGGGACAACAAGACAAGAACAAAAAAAAGAAGCUCGAGACAAAGCAGAGAGGAGACAAAGGCUUUAUUGAAGGAUGUCUCUUUGCACUAUGCUGCUGCUGGAUUUGUUCUAAGGAAAAAAAAAGAACACUAUUACAGUGUGUCAAGCUUCCUUGUGUAUCUAUUAGUGGCUUUUAAUAUUAUCACCGAUAGAGAUUGCGGGGACUAUAUAUGUGGUGUUUGUAUGUAUUCAAAAGAAGAUUUAUUUCCAUACCAGUAACGUAAAUAUCAUCAAAAUUUCAAA